rnacentral:rRNA from 1 species
AUUGAACGCUGGCGGCAUGCCUUACACAUGCUAGUCGAACGGCAGCACGGGAACAAUCCUGGUGGCGAGUGGCGAACGGGUGAGUAAAGUAUCGGAACGUGCCCAGUCGUGGGGGAUAACGUAGCGAAAGUUACGCUAAUACCGCAUACGAUCUAUGGAUGAAAGCGGGGGAUCGCAAGACCUCGCGCGAUUGGAGCGGCCGAUAUCAGAUUAGGUAGUUGGUGGGGUAAAGGCCCACCAAGCCGACGAUCUGUAGCUGGUCUGAGAGGACGACCCGCCAGUCUGGGACUGAGACACGGCGCAGAAUCCUACGGGAGGCAGCAGUGGGGAAGUUUGGACAAUGGGCGAAAGCAUGAUCCAGCCAUGCCGCGUGCAGGAUGAAGGCCUUCGGGUUGUAAACUGCUUUUGUACGGAACGAAAAGGACUGCCCUAAUACGGUGGUCCCAUGACGGUACCGUAAGAAUAAGCACCGGCUAACUACGUGCCAGCCGCCGCAGUAA